CAGCAGCCGCGGUAAUGCGAAGGGGGCUAGCGUUGCUCGGAAUGACUGGGCGUAAAGGGCGCGCAGGCGGUUUUGACAGUCAGAUGUGAAAUUCCUGGGCUUAACCUGGGGGCUGCAUUUGAGACGUCAAGACUAGAGUGUGAGAGAGGGUUGUGGAAUUCCCAGUGUAGAGGUGAAAUUCGUAGAUAUUGGGAAGAACACCGGUGGCGAAGGCGGCAACCUGGCUCAUUACUGACGCUGAGGCGCGAAAGCGUGGGGAGCAAACAGGAUUAGAUACCCCCGUAGUCCCUGUCUCUUAUAA
rnacentral:rRNA from 1 species